ACCUUGUCUUCUCAACGGCCAUUGCCUGGCCCUAGGCCUCCUGAUGCACGUGGACCCCUGGCAGACCAUGGUCUCUGUGCAGGACAGGAGGCCAUCAUCGCUAGGUCAGACAUCCUCAUCUGCAUCAUCACCACCAUCUUUAAUAUGGAGAUUUGUAGAUCGCUUGAGAAGAGUUGUGAUUUUCAUGCUACUGACUGAGCUGCAGACCUGACUGUAGUCCUGCUACCC